UACGGAGGGUGCAAGCGUUAUCCGGAUUCACUGGGUUUAAAGGGCGCGUAGGAGGGCAGGUAAGUCAGUGGUGAAAUCUCCAAGCUUAACUUGGAAACUGCCGUUGAUACUAUCUGUCUUGAAUACCGUGGAGGUGAGCGGAAUAUGUCAUGUAGCGGUGAAAUGCUUAGAUAUGACAUAGAACACCAAUUGCGAAGGCAGCUCGCUACACGAAUAUUGACUCUGAGGCACGAAAGCGUGGGGAUCAAACAGG
rnacentral:rRNA from 1 species